rnacentral:rRNA from 1 species
ACACAUGCAAGUCGAUGGGGAAGUGGUGCUUGCACCAUGGUAACCAUGGCGGACGGGUGAGUAACGCGUAAGGAACUUGCCUGCGGGACUGGGAUAACAGCAGGAAACUGCUGAUAAUACCGGAUAAGGUCAUUAAGCUGCAUAGCUUAGUGAUGAAAGGAGACGCCUGCGGAGAGCCUUGCGUCCUAUUAGCUAGUUGGAGGGGUAACGGCCCACCAAGGCGAAGAUAGGUAGCCGGCCUGAGAGGGUGGACGGCCACAAGGGGACUGAGAUACGGCCCUUACUCCUACGGGAGGCAGCAGUGGGGAAUAUUGGACAAUGGGGGCAACCCUGAUCCAGCAAUUCUGUGUGCACGAAGACGGUUUUCGGAUUGUAAAGUGCUUUCAGCAGGGAAGAAGGAAGUGACGGUACCUGCAGAAGAAGCGACGGCUAAAUACGUGCCAGCAGCCGCGGUAAUACGUAUGUCGCGAGCGUUAUCCGGAAUUAUUGGGCAUAAAGGGCAUCUAGGCGGCCUUUCAAGUCAGGGGUGAAAACCUGCGGCUCAACCGCAGGCCUGCCUUUGAAACUGAUAGGCUGGAGUACCGGAGAGGUGGACGGAACUGCACGAGUAGAGGUGAAAUUCGUAGAUAUGUGCAGGAAUGCCGAUGAUGAAGAUAGUUCACUGGACCGGUAACUGACGCUGAAGUGCGAAACCGGGGGAGCGAACAGG